GGGUCCGUAGUUCAACUGGCAGAACGCUGGUCUCCAAAACCAGAGGUUCCAGGUUCAACUCCUGGCGGACCCGCC
rnacentral:tRNA from 1 species